rnacentral:lncRNA from 1 species
GGCAAUCUCGUCACGCUGGACUCAGAUCUCAGUGCAGAAGAGCAAACCCUCGGACAAUGAGGUAGGUCUUCCUUCUUAACUCUAUCUAACAACACCUACAAUAAAGAAUCCUUACCUGUAUACCAAUCCACAUCAUGUGUGUUCAUUUAUGCAAAUAGAUGCGAAGCAGGGCAAACCAAUGGCGAUUUUUCUUUUUUCC